GGGCUGAAUUUGAGAAAUAUGGGUAUAAAAUGUCUUAGAAUUGUAUGAGAAAUGUGUUCUCUGUGCUUAUAUUAGAGUCAAUUUAAAGGAGCCCCCCUCCAAAUCUAUGAUAUUUGAAAAUGCUGUCAUACAAAGCAUUUUACAUGUUGUUAUGAUUUUGGUAUGAUCAAGGUGUUUAAAAAAAAUUAUUUGUAAAAUCAAGAAAGCUGAAGUACUAUGAAUAGUAUUUCUUUUCAUACAAUAUAUCCCUACAUUUGUGUAUUGAUUAUUCAAAUGUCCAAAAUGUACUUUUGACAUUUCUUGUUUUAUAAUUUGACUUUGCCAGUUUGUACUUACUUAAUCAGGAAGAUUAUCAUUUAUGUGCUAUGAUGGAUUUCAGAAUGGGAAUGUGCAAUACUAAAACUAUACUAGGUUUUUGACUUUUAGUUCAACAGUUUUUACAUCGAAGCUAUUAAUUACAUUAACUGCCUGAAGUGAUACAGUAGUUUUGAGUAAUGAAUUUAAAGUCAAAUUGAAUGUCAUAAUUUAAAAUUGUCCUAUAUGUUUUUCUUAAAGUGGUUUGCGUUUCGAAUGCAGCUUUAACCUGUACGUAAUAUACAUGUUAUUUAGAAUUUUAAAAAACUCUUCGACAUAUUUUUGUACAGAAGAAUAUAUUGCACUUUGAGUCACUAUGCACAACCUUAAUUGAUUUGAUGAGAUAAAUCUUAAACAUGAAUUUGGAAUUAAAAAUUCUGGUUGAUGUCCCCUAUCUGUUUAAUUUUUUUUCAAUCAUUUUGAUGACAAUAUCAAUGAGUGCAUAUUUACAUGAUCUAAUAUGUAUAGCCUAGUUACUUCAGUGUUUUAUAAAAAAUUGCAGAAAAUUUUCAGAUUGAAGAGUUAGAACCAUUUUAACAAGAGCUUGGACUUCAGGUAGUUAUGUCAAAUGGUAGGCCUGUUUCAAAUUUAUGGGUAGUAAUCAGGAGUGUUGGCAAGAUUUCAUUAUAUAUAUAUAUAUAUACACUGUAGAUAGAUAAUAUGUAAUAUGUUAUAUUCAUCCUGUUGAAUAAAUUUGAAAUUAAAAAA
rnacentral:sRNA from 1 species